rnacentral:lncRNA from 1 species
CAACCCCAGCCUGAUGAGCAUUACUUUUCUAGAGCACACCGUAAGCCUAAGUAGAAACAGGUUAAGCAAGGAAGUGCAUCAAUUUAUUGACUCCUAAUAGUUUUUCUAUGCCUGUAAUUCAUUUCCAUUAUUCCUGUCCAGGUGAAAAGAGUUUAUCCUUAGACCUGGUGACUGACUAAUAGUGUCACUUCUCCUUUCCUAAAAGGGAAUUUUGAUUGUGGUCAUUUAAUUAUUUCUCUACUAUUGCAUGUUACAAUCUAUUGGUAGCAGUUAAGUUCAUCAGAGGUUACAAGAUAAAUGAAGCCACAUUUAGAGGUGGAAGAGGUGUGUCCAUGCCAUGCCAUUAUUUCUGAAUGCUAUAGUUCUGUAAGAUUCACAAGCCUCUGUGGAUUGUUAGGUGUGGGCUUUUUUUGUUUGUUUUUUGUAUAAGAAACUGGCACACAUAUUUAUGGGGCAGACAACAGGAGGACUUGUACAUACACAUCUAUCAGAUUGUCUCUGUGGCACCCCUUUUCUACCACCUGCUCUGAUCCUUAUGGUUGCAUAGGAGCCAUCCUUUGUGAACCUUCCCAGAGAAUUGAGUAUUAGAAGAAGAAAGAUGAAAACUCCUGGUUGCAAUCAAGCACCUGGUUCAUUUGUUCCCAAGGCCCAGCUUUAUUAUCCCUGGGUUUUGUGAGACCCUCCCGUCUUUCUAUUUUACCUGUCUUGCUUACGCAUGUUUAAAUUGGGUGUCUUAAACACAACAGUCCUAACAUGUUGUCCAGGAGAUUGUAGGCCAUGGAGAGGAUAGGGAUGACAGAAGACAAAGCCCUGAAAGUAGAAGAGAAUAGUAAAUGUCACAGAGUAGUUGUUCAAAUUGUGUGCUUUGGAACCACUAUCUUGGUUCCAAUACCAGUUCAACACCUUAUUAGCUGUAUGACUUUAACAAGUUAUUUAACCUCUUGAACUCUUAAUUUAUCUAUGAAAUAGGGACUCACUAAUUUAUUUAAUGGGCUUAUUUCAUACCCAGUACAUGCCAGGAAUAAAGAAAGUAGGUUUUAAGACAGUCAAGAGACUUAGAAGGCAAAUUUAGUAAUGACAGAAGCUUGUGAAAAUUAAAUGACAUUGUAGAACACUUAGCAUAAUAACUGACACAAUAAACAGUUAACAAAUGUUAAGUCUUAUGAAGGAUAAGGGGUGGUAUGGAGAGUUAACGUCAGACUCUUUUUUUAUGGUAUUAGGAACUGAACCCACGUGCACUCUACCACUGAACUACAUCUCAAAAGUUAUUUUUUAUUUUAAAACAGGGUCUCACUAAGUUGGUAAGGCUGGCCUUGAACUUUCGAUCCUGUUUCCUCAGCCUCCGUAGUCGCUGGGAUGACAAGUGUGCACCACCAUGCUCAGUUUUGCUUGUGUUUCUUGAAUCAGCAACUGGUUUAUAGCAGGGAGUUUAUUAGAUUAGUAAAAGAAAUAAUGAAGUGGUUCUUGGCCCAGUCACAUAUCAGUAUCAUGUGGGGAGGAAUUUUUAGUGGUAUGGGGGAUUAAAUACAGGGUUGCUUUACCCAGCUCCUUUUAUUUUUAAUUUAGAGACAGAGCCUUAUAAAAUUGCUCAGGCUAGACUGGAACUUUCAGUCCUUCUGCUUCAACCACCUGAGUUGCUGGGAUUACAGGCAGGUGCCGCUGUGCCCCACCAUGAUGACACAUUUUUAAAUGAGUUCUAUGUUGGUAUUGUCUCCCAACUUAGUCACUUUCACAUCUGAAGCCCACUUUAUUACAUCAUCUAACACCAUUGAGGCGUUGGGGCUCAGAAAAAUGAUGCCCCAAAAUACAGCACUUUGGCAUGCUGACUACCUUGAACUAAAGGCUAUUGAAAGGCCUUAAAAGCAUCCUCAGAAGUAAAGUUGACUUCAGAUCUUGUUCUGCUCUUCUUCUUCCCACUCUUCCCCCACCCCCAGUCAUAGAAACCAGAAUUCCUCUUUCCAAAGGUGGAUCAUAGAAAUUAGAACCCUUCUCUUCCAAAGGAAGCCAAAACAGAUAGAAAGGUUGCCAGGUGUGGUGGCACAUGCCUAUAAUCCCAGUGGCAAAGGAGGCUGAGGUAGGAGGAUUGUGAGUUCAAAGCCAGCCUCAGCAAAAGUGAGGCCCUAAGCACCUCAGUGAGACCCUGUCUCUAAAUUAAAUACAAAAUAGGGCUGGGGAUGUGGUUCUUUGGUUGAAUGCCCCUGAGUUCAAUCCCUGGUACCAAAAAAAAAAAAGAAAGAAAAAGGAAAAAGAAAGGUCACUCCCUCCUUUCUCCUCUUUUUGGAGACAUUCAUUCCAAAGGGGUCUUGCCCUAUACUCUGCAAAGGAAUGCUACACGGAGAGUUCAAGAAUAAUCUGGAGGGGACUUGCUGGGUCUCCCCUCCUCAGUUUUACAUGGCUGUCCAUUUUUCACUAAACUUAAGCAUGAAAUUUGGGUCUUUGUUUUUGAAGGCUUUUAUGUCACUUAAAAUUUUGAUUAACUUGUUAACCUGCUUUUUUCUGUGGUUGGUUGUUUGUUUGCUUGCUUUAUGCAGUGUUGGAGAUCAAACCCAGGGCCUCCUGCAUGCUAAGCAAGUGCUCUGCCACUGAGGCACAUGUGACACUUAUGAUAGGUUAGGAAAGGUAUCAUACUUUUCUUUUAUAGUUUCUGGCAGUUGAGAUAUGACUUUCUCUAGAGCCUGCAGAUGAGAUCCUGGGAAAACUGAUAAGGAACUAGCAAAGAAAAAAUUGAGAUUUUUUAAAAACCAAUCUCCCAAAUCUCUGCCUGUGGUGUUUGGUUAAUAAUUGAAGGGUCAGAAACGGAGGCACAUGCCUGUAAUCCCAGUGACUCUGGAGGCUGAGGCAGGACAGUUGCAAAUUCAAGGCCAGUCUCAGCAAUUUAGAAAGGUCCUAAGCAAUUUAGCAAGAACCUGUGUAAAAUAAAAAGGGGAUGUAGCUCAGUACUAAAGUGUGCCUGGGUUAAAUCCCCAGUACCAAAAUAAAAAAAGAAAUAGAAGGAAAUUUUUUUUAAAUCACUUUCUUUCAAAAUUUAUAUUAGCAGGAGAAAUCAUUUAUAUGUACCAUUUCUUGUGUAUAAGGACUUUGGUGAUCUUUUUGGUAUGAAUGCUCAUUUUCUAAUUUCUGCCCUCCCAGAGGUGGUCUUUGUUUUCCUUUGUCUGUCUUUUGUAUAGUUUGUCAUAAAGAGGAGAAUCAUAAGGUUAGAUAGAACACAGGCAUAAAUUCUUUAAGCUUUUUAUUCAAGCCAGAGUCAGAGAUGGGUGUGUACCCGGUUAUCCCCAGAUUGUUUAUACAAACUUUGCUGUGGGUCCCUGAGUCAAAAAUCUGGAUGAGGUUCUCCUGUGUUUUGUGUCCAGAGUUGGCUUUCUGACCACUGAGAACACUUUCUCUAGUCUCUACCAGCAGGGGACACAAGUGUCAGUAUGCAUCAGGUAACUUGUUGAAUAAGCUGGGAACCUAUUCAUGCCAGCUCUAAGGGGUUUUAAUAGCUAUGGCUUUUGUUAUGUCAACCUUCAGUGUUUGAAUUCAUACUAGGAAUCACUCAUGUUGUGAUCCCCUACCCUGUGUCACAAGGGUCUGUGAAUGUGGGGGUGGGGGAGUGGUCUCAUGUUUCAGUGGGAGGCAUGAGAAGCCAUUUUCACAAAACACUAGCUGUAACUACCUGUGGUAACAAAGAAAUUUGCUUCCUUCCUCUGUCUCUUUAGGAGUAAAAUUUUGGGCUUAAGGGGAUUCAAUCUCAUUUGCCUAUAUUGAGAACACUACUUGUGCCCAUGGUAUUACUAGUUUGAGUCUCUUUGAGAAUAAAUAAAUUGACUAACAUUAUUGUUAAAUUUUUGUCUUUUGUUUUUGUUUGGGGGAUUUUGUUUUUAUUUUUUGCAGUGCUGGGGCUCAAAUCCAGGGCCUUGCUCAUACAAAACAAAUGCUCUACCACUGAGCUACAUCCCCAGACCUGUAAAAAUAAGUUUUAAUUGUGACUUUUGGUCUUAGGGUACCCAUUUGUUAUUCUUUCCCUCCUGUAGACAGUUAUUGUUUUCCUAUUUGAUUCAUUUUUGCCCUGACAAUUUAGGAUGGUAGCUUUCCACUUGUCAGGAACAUGCAGAUUAUUAGACUUGUAUGUAUAUAGAUUGUCAAUCAAAAGGUUAGAGUCCCUAAGAAUAUGGGUAGGGAAAAAAAAAAAAAGAGGGUCGCAUCCUGUUUGCAGCUAGUGUGCUGAAUAUUCCCAGCUCUCCAGGAGUUAUCCAAGUCUUUCUUCUUUGAUACACUGCUGGAUCUCAAGAGGGGAGAUGCCAUGUGUGCUAUAAAACUUACUGGUUUUAGUUCUGAGUCAUUUGUUAGGUACUUUUUAUUUUAAAGAAAAUAAUAAUAAUAGUAAUAGAAGCCAGGAAUAUUUGCUGUUUCCUGGAUGAAGUAGUUUGUUUUUAAGAGCCAUAUGUUCAAAAUUCAGCUUAAUUUGGAAGCCGAUAUUCAGGCUAUACUUUUUUUUUUUUAAUAAGAUUUUCCUGUUCUAUUGGUCCUGCUUCUCCCAUGGGAACUUUAGGAAGUUAAUAGUCAAUUAAAAUUUAGUCAAUUAAAACCUGUCUUCUUGAACCCAUUUACAAUAUGUUCUAUCCCUCAGUAUGCUUCCUUUCUUGUUGGCUUGACUUUUGCUGAGGAUAAUGUGAAACUUCAUUGGCUUUUUUGCAAACUUAAGAUCUCCCAAAACUGGCUCCUUGCAGACCUGUUCUUUCCAUUUAGUUUUCCUUCUUCCCUGUUUUUGCCAUCUGUGAUCUUCUGUACCGUUCCCUUGAAUCUUUUAUAUCUUGUCCUUCAAGCCCCUAUUUUCUAUGUAGUGGUCAGAGGAUGAAAAAUUACUGAGGAAACAAAGGAUGCAGUUUUCCAUGGCCAAAUUACAGUUAUGUUUCUGAAUCUUAUCCUAGGACCAUCUGCAUACUUCUUUGUGAAUCCUAUGUUGAAUUCCUCUAAAUUUAUAUUGCCUGGACAUUCAUUUUGAAUCCUCUGUGUCUCACUUGUCAUACCCUAAAUCUUUCUUGGAAAAACUUUUAUUAUUUCUCUGUGCAUUUGAGAUGUAUGUAUAUCUUUUUAAGAACAUGAUAGUUAUCAUUUGGAAAUAAGAAAAACUUAAGAGAGAGAAUACUAUUAGAAAAAAGAAAAAGGGAAAAGUGACGAGGAAGAAUGAUGUUUAACUUUUAGUUUCUUUAUUUCUGUGAUAUUUUCAAUGUGUGCCUGACUUGACAAC